GGGGCUGUAACGGUUUCGACGUUUUGACGAAAGUCACGCUGUGAUACAGGCCGAGAGGGAGUCUGCUCUCGCAAAUCAAGGCUCAAAACAAACGUAACUGCGAACACUAUCGUUCCUUUUGCUCGUAAAGCUGCACCUGUUGCCGCUUAAUCUAAACCUAGUUUAGCGAGCGUUCAUAGUUUGACUCCGUUAAGAGCUAUGGACAAACCCCAACGGAUGCGUCGAUGAAUCUCCUCUGGUGGAUCCAUUGACAAAGACUUAGCCAGAGAAUCCCGCCGUCCGGGAUAAGUGGCGGUUCCGGCCCCGAGGGUUAGACGGGCUAAGCCUGUGAAUGAGUGGUGUGUUAAUACUCAGAGCGGACACGGGUUCGACUCCCGUCAGCUCCAUUA
rnacentral:tmRNA from 2 species